GUUGUUGUGCCAUUCAAAUGAAUGGCUAAAUUAUUUAUUUCGCAUGUGUCUCAUGCUGCAAGUGACUACAAGUUUGCUUCUGCAUAUAUUUUUCAUGUAUAUUAUUAAUAAAUAGUGUAUGCAUGGUUUUUCUGCUUAUCCUUUGGACUCUUAUACAAUUUUGAGCGUCUUUGGAAAAUUCAUUCGCGUGCAUAGUUUUUCCAAAUUGCACUCGAAAUCAUACUAUUACCUAUACAAUAAAAUCGAUGCAUGGUCAGCAUAUUUUGCAUUUUAGGGGCUGUAUACAGUAUAUGAUCCCAGCUAUAUAGGCGGACAAAAUGUCAUGGCGUGUUUAUAUGGACAAAAUGGUGAAAAUGCACUGCCGGUUUAAAGCCAGUAUAUGUUCAGAAAACAUGCUCAUUCUUCAUUAUAUGGACUGUAAUAGCAAAUCAAUUAGUGCAUGCAUGCAUGUUUAAUUAAUUAUUUAGUUUUAGUAUAAAGCUUGUGUUAAGCAUAGGUUAGUUAGUAUGUUUGUAAAUUCCGAGUAUAACCACGAUAAAGAACCGUGGUUCUUUAAAAGAAAUAUAAAUCGUAACACUUGAACCUGAGUACUUUAUUAUGGAUAACAAAAU